rnacentral:misc_RNA from 1 species
UUUCCGUAGGUGAACCUGCGGAAGGAUCAUUACAGAGUUCAUGCCCUCACGGAUAGAUCUCCCACCCUUGAAUAUUUAUACCUUAGUUGCUUUGGCAGGCCGUGGAAACACCAUGGGCUCCGGCUUAUGCGUGCCUGCCAGAGGAAACAAACUCUGUUUUUAGUGAUGUCUGAGUACUAUAUAAUAGUUAAAACUUCCAACAACGGAUCUCUUGGUUCUG